GGUCCUAGCCUUCUUAUCAGUUUUUUCUAAGCCUCUCGCUUACACCCUCGGGUUUACACUGAGGACGCCCUUUUACCUUUUCCUGGCUAAGGAGCCGGUAUCAGGCACUAAAUCUGCCCACAACACCUAGUCCCACCACACCCCCAAGGGCCUUCAGCAUUGAUUAAUAUUGUUUAUAAUUGUUAACUUGAUCCAACUAUAGAGAAGAGAGCUGGCCAACUCGGUGCCAACCGCCGCGGCUAAACCGCACGAGCUCAAAUUGAUAAUUGUCGGCGUUAAGCGUGAUUAAAGGCCCCGCUAAUUAAAACAAAACCUAAACUCAGCUGUGAUAAGCUUGUUUUCGAGAAACACAAACACGAAAGUUGCUCUAAUCAACCCUUGAAUACACAACAGUCGGGAGACAAACUGGGAUUAGAUACCCCACUAUGCCCCACCGUAAAAUAUAUACUCACACUAACAAACGCCCGGGUAUUACGAGCCUCAGCUUAAAACCCAAAGGACUUGACGGUGUCCCAUCCAACUAGAGGAGCCUGUUCUAUAAUCGAUAACCCCCGAUACACCUAACCCCUCCUUGCCAAUCAGCCUGUAUACCUCCGUCGCAAACUUACCAUAUGAAUGCCAAUAGUAGGUUAAAUGGUUAUAUCACCAACACGUCAGGUCAAGGUGCAGCUCAUGAUAGGGAAAGCAAUGGGCUACAAUUUCUAAAAUAGAACACACGGAAUGCUGCAUGAAACACAGCCGCGAAGGCGGAUUUAGUAGUAAAAAGAAAAUAAAGUGUCCUUUUUAAUAAGGCCCUGGGACGUGUACACACCGCCCGUCACCCUCUUCAACAGCACACAAUAUGUUCCUAACAACUCUUGCACCUUAGAAGAGGCAAGUCGUAACAUGGUAAGUGUACCGGAAGGUGCACUUGGAUUUACAAAGUAUAGUUUAACAAAACCUCCCGCUUACACCGAGAAUAUAUCUGUGAGAAUCAGAUUACUUUGAGCCUAAAAUUAAGCCUAACCCACCCCCAUGAAAACCACUUCCAACUAAACAACAAUAAAACAUUUUAUCAGUUUAGUAAAGGCGAUUAAAAAACUUCCUAGCGCUUUACUUCUAGUACCGCAAGGGAAAAAUGAAAUAGUUUUGAAACAGCCAUUAAGCAACCUAUAGCAGAGACUACCCCUCGUACCUUUUGCAUCAUGGUUUAGCCAGUCUUUUUCAAGCAAAGCGAAACAUCAGUUUGACCCCCCGAAACUAAGCGAGCUACUUCAAAACAGCUCAAUGGAGCCAACCCGUCUCUGUCGCAAAAGAGUGGGACGAUUUUUAAGUAGAGGUGAAAAGCCUACCGAGCUUAGAGAUAGCUGGUUAUUCAAGAAAAGAAUUUUAGUUCUACCUUAAGUUUCUGUAUUAACCCUAUAAACCACUCAAACUUAAGAGCUAUUCAAAUGAGGCACAGCUUAUUUGAAAAAGGAUACAACCUAUAAAAAAGGGUAAACCCCCCCCCCCCAAAAAUAAGUGGGCCUAAAAGCAGCCACCUUUAAGAAAGCGUUAAAGCUUCUUUUUUCCAAAAAUCUAAUACCAAAACACACCUUUAACCCUUUAUUCCUACUGAAUGAUUCUAUUCUCCUAUAGAAGCCCCAAUGCUAAAACUAGUAACAAGAAAUUGACUUUCUCCAAAAUACAAGCAUAGACCAAAAUGGACUAACCAUUGGUUAUUAACGUCAAUUAAUCAAUAUAGCAACUAUAUCAAGAAAACACUAUUAGUUAUUACGUUAACCUUACACAAGUGUAUUUCCGGAAAGAUUUAAAGAGGGGGAAGGAACUCGGCAAAUAAUAACCUCGCCUGUUUACCAAAAACAUCGCCUCUUGAUAAAAUAUAGGAGGUCCAGCCUGCCCAGUGAUAUAAUUAAACGGCCGCGGUACCCUGACCGUGCAAAGGUAGCAUAAUCACUUGUUCUCUAAAUAGGGACUCGUAUCAACGGCAUCACGAGGGUUAUACUGUCUCCCCCCUCUAAUCAGUGAAACUGACCUCCCCGUGAAGAGGCGGGGAUAUUUAUACAAGACGAGAAGACCCCAUGGAGCUUUAAACCCAAUAACAACCUCCACCAAAGUACCCUAAAAAUGAAGAGGCACUGUUUAUUGGUUUUAGGUUGGGGUGACCACGGAGAAAAACUAAACCUCCAUGACGAAUGGACCUUAAGCCUAAUCUAAGAGCCACUACUCCAAGAAUCAUUAAUUUGACAUAAUUUGAUCCGGCAACCGAUCAACGAACCAAGUUACCCUGGGGAUAACAGCGCAAUCCAUUUCAAGAGCCCCUAUCGACAAAUGGGUUUACGACCUCGAUGUUGGAUCAGGGUAUCCCAGUGGUGCAGCCGCUACUAAAGGUUUGUUUGUUCAACAAUUAAAACCCUACGUGAUCUGA
rnacentral:ncRNA from 1 species